ACCAAAACCUGGGUUGAAUCUCACAUUGUAAGUCUUGGUCAAUCCUGUACUCCCCAGAGGAAGGAAUACUUUCUGAUUUAAAAGGUUCAAAUGAAUAAUAUUUACGAUACCACAGUAGUUAUACAUAAAUGAUGGCUGUAGCCUACACAAAUGAUCUUGUGGCAGAGUGAGUACGCUCCUCCCCUGUAUUUAGAAGACAGCCUAUCAGAGCAGAGUGCUGCGUAUAUAAAAGCCGCUUGUUGUGCUACCCGGGAUGCGUCAUCGCUAGCUCCGCCCCUUGGUGUGUGUGGGUUUCCGCAUGGAAAAGGUAUGGUUUGGUGGCAGUUUGUCUGGUGUUAAAUUUUAGUUAGUGUAUAUCAAUUAAUUGAAUUCACUCUUGUAGCUGGAAUAGCUUCUGGUUUGCGGUUUUGCAGUGGUGCGCAGGCUGUCAUUGAUCCCCGGGUAAGCCCAGUUUGAUAAACGGUUUAUAUAAAACAAUUACAUCUGUUUAAAUCGCAUGUUUUUAUUUCAGCUGGGUUGAGUCCACUUUCCGUGUGAAUUGUCAAACAUUAUGCUGUGAGCAAUCAUACAACUUAGGUUAUUUUGACGAAGAUUUGGGCCCUGUAUGAGAAGGCUAGCUGUUAUGAUAUCCUGGUGGUGGUAUUUGGAGCACGAGGUGUGGACUGCCGUCUGAUCACUUACUCCACUGGUGUGUGUGUGUGUGUGUGUGUUUGUGCGCGUGUGGUUUAACAUUCACUUUACAGCUAGCCUAGUCUGCUUGUAUGUUUAGGUCCCUGUUUGACUUGUUGUGGUUCUAUUUUUGUUAUUUUGGUCGUAAAUGUUUGUUUUAUUUGGAUUUAAUAAACAACCAUGUUUUUA